GCGCGGUCCCGGCCGCGGAGGCCUAGGGGAGCCCGGCGAGCUCGGCCCCGAUCUUCACUAGGCCUGCCCGGCCGGGUCCGC
rnacentral:misc_RNA from 1 species